AAGCGGGAGAGAGAAUCCCAAGCAGGCUCCGCACUGUCAGCGCAGAGCCCGAUGUAGGGCUCAAUCUCAUGAACUCUGAGUUCAUGACUUGAGCUGAAACAAUAGUCAGAUGCUUAACCGACUGAGCCACCCAGGCGCCCCUGAAUUAAUAUUUCUAAAGUAUGAGAAGAUGCCUAGAGAGAAUCAGUACCCAAUAAACAGACAAAUGUAGUUCCUGGGAAAAACACGGAUAGAUGCCACACUGAAAAAUACCAAUAUGAAUGAAUGGCUCUCUCCCACCUCAUGCAGGAGAAUGGAGCUCCUGGGAGCUCAGACCAGUCAAAAACAGCCCCAGGGAGGGCUUUCCGGCCUGAGAGCAGAAGUGACCUCCUCAGAAGUAAAUAAUAAAAAUAACAAUGAAUACUAUCGUGUACUGAGCACCUCCUCUAGGCUGGACCCUGUGGUCAGGGUCCUACGUUACCUCGUUCAGUCUUCCAGCAACUUUGUGAGAAAGAGGUUGUUUCAUUGUCCAGAUCACACAGCGGAGACUUGGAGAGACUGGUUAACUUGCCCAACAGCACAUGGUCAGCAGGGGUAGCACCAGGAGUCCAAAGCCUGUGCUCUUAGCCAGUAGACCCUCUGUCUCCGUCUGCCUAUCUGUCAGCCCAGCUUCUGAUCUUAAUUUCGUUUCUCAAGUGGGGAUCAACCUCACUGGGGAUGCUGAAGUUCAUAUUAUCCAUUAAUAAUUUGGCUUAGGGGAAGAACGCUGGAUUAGAAGUCAGGAGACCCAACUUCUGGUCUAGCUCUGUCACCUACUAUAUCAGCCAGGACAAGCUAGUUACCUGUGCUGGGCCACAGCAUGGGAACUGAUCGUGCCUGCCCUGCCUAUCCCAGGAACUAAGAUGAGGCACCAAGGAGAUGAUUCACAUUCAAAUUCAUUAAACAACGACUGCUUACUACGGGCUCCGUCCUAAGCAAACUGCAUUUACCUAUAUUUUUCAUUAUUGUAAAUCAGCUUAGGAAACACUUAAAAGGCAAGAUAGCAUUGUUCCUGUGAAUUAGGACUUCGUGAACCACUUUUUUUUUAAGGUGCCCGAUUGUCCCCCAAACAGGCGAAACGUCAAGGCUCCAGAGCCGGGGGGACCAAGCUGUCUAUUUCAGAGAGCCAGCCACACUCUCCAGACCUUCCCUGCUUUCAUGAAACAAUAAGCGUGUUUAGAACUGCUUCAGAACCAGGAUGCCAGCGAAGGUGGGAAGCCUAGCUGAAGACCUGCCCUGAGGACCUCCGUGAGGGUGAGGGCCUCCUGUGGCCGUAGGCGCCUCCUUCCCUGCGACCGUCUGACCGUCCGUCCGUCAGCUCGCCGUGGUGGGAUGCUGGGUCGGUUCUGUGCUUUCGCUAAGAAGGGGGUGUCAAGAUGGAGACGAAGGACUUAAGAGCUAAAGCAAUAAUAAACAAACAUAAACCCGGGGUCUGUUCUGAUCGGGCAGUGUCCACGGUGAGACUCUCACCCCUGGAUAGAGUUUGCCCGCGUUUGGUUUCGCGGAGGACCUACUCAGUUCUGUGCUCCGGCAGGUGCCAACUCUUCCCAUCUGCCUCCUGGGAGCAUAGUGGUGGCACAGUAAAUAACAUGUGGUCGAAGGGCUGGCGCACCGCAGCUGACAUCCGGGAGGACCUGAGGGAAUGUUUCCGUCUGACUGGCUGACCUCUGAGAACAGGGGCCGGAUCCUCUUUGAGUUUUCACCAACAACAGUCCUGUGCUGAUGUUCAGAAGGUGCUCAAUAUGCGUUCGGUGAAUGGAUGAACCCAUCAGAAAGCGUCCACUGAGUGCCAGCUGAGGGGAGGUGCUGGGUUAUUUAUGGUAGGGAGCGAAGGAAAAAGACUAAAUCACACCUCUCAGAGAAUGUUCAGCUUAUGGCAGGUGAUCCCACCCCUACGUGACAAAUAAAAAGGACCCACGGAUACCAGCGUUUUAUUUGUGCGAACGAGGAGAUGCGAUUUUUAAAAGGUAAGGGGUAUCGCUAAGUAAAAUAAAAGAACCAAGGGACACGGAGGGCGAAUAGAGAUUUUUAUUGGACGUAAAGGCCCCAGGAGAAGCAAAUUCCUUUGGAAAUGGCCCAACGAGAGGCAUUUCCCAUUCCUUCCUUUUUCAAAGGCUGGUUUUGUUGGGUUUUUAACUGAGAGCCUCAGGAUGGAGGGAGAAGCUAUCUUCUCAGCACAGAGUUUUCUCCCCCUUUUCCAGAGGGAAGGCAGAUUUGGGAAACUGGCACUGCCCCUGCCCAGAUGGCAGCCAGCAGCUGGCUCUGGCAAAGGGAAGUUCUCACUCUGGGCUGCUGGCUGCCGGGCCCCUCCCGUUUCCCCAGCAAUGCCGGGCCGGGGCCAUUGGAGAGGAGAGAAUGUGAGAGGCCGGCCAUGCCAGCAGCUCCUCGCCACCCUGACCUGCCGGUUCUGGCUCUGACACCCAGGCCCGUGGCCGGGGAGCGGAGGGAGCAGGCCCAGCAGCACUAGCCAGCAGCCUCAGCCUCCCUCCUCCUGCCUUGGCGGUGGUUGGCCCUGCGCUGAACCACACAAUGGCUCCUGACGACUUCGGGGCUGCAGCGUCAGGGACAAAGGGUGGUUGGUGGUGAUUUCAGAGAGAGUGGCCUGGCCACGCAACCGUGGGCCGAUGUGGGUUACAGGGCUCCAGAAGAUCCUGCUGGCCCACGGCUGCCCCUUCCCACACCAAACACUGCCCUGUCUUCUAGCAGACCCUGUGGGUCCCGGUUUCUUCCACCCCAGGCGUAGUUUUCUUUUUUCCUCCCUCCCUCCCUUCCUCCCUCCCUCCAUCCCCCUUUUCCUUUCUUCUUUCUUUCCUUUCUCCUUCCUUCCUUCCUUCCUUUCUUCCUUCCUUCCUUCCUUCCUUCCCUUUCUCUCUUCUCACAAUGCCUUUCUCGCACUUUCUUGCUUUCCCCCGCCCCCUCCUCCUUUCUUUUAUUCUUCAAACAUCUAUUGACUGCACAUUCUGUAUCACUCUGCUAGGUUCUGAGAGUGCACAGAUAUAAUAAUACUUGGCCCUGCCCCCGAGGAGCUCACAAUUCAGUGAGGACAUCUGUGCCUGAGAUGGGAUGAGUCCAUGACAAUUAAUGACAAUAGAGCGUGUUAAGUACUAUAAAAGCACACAAAUUGCUAGGAAAGCAGAGGAAAGAGCCAUUAAUUUCUACCUGACCCAUUUUGGGGAAAAGUUAGCUGAGGUUCUGCCAUUUUUCAAUUUAGUUGCUCACUCCGAGUCUUAUGCUCCUGAGGAAAGGUUUUAUGUCGCUAAGUCUCGUUGGAAAAAUGAAAGGUUUGCUUUUUGUUUCAGUUCCUGCUUAUGACUCAGGUCUCGAGGCUUUGAAUUUUUAUCAAGUCCAAUUUUAUCCAUUUUUUUUCUUUUUUGCUGUUGGAUCUAAGAACUUUUUGUCUAACCCAAAUAUUGCAAAGAUUUUCUCCUUGAUUUUCUUCUAGAAAUUUAUAAUUUUACAAUUACAUUUGCAUUUAUGAUCUAUUUUUGCUCAUCUUUGUAUAUGGCAUGUAUUGGGGGUUUUUCUUCUUUUUUUUUAGUAUAAAAAAAUAUUGUUUCCAGUAUCAAUUAUUCCAGAACCAUUUGUUUGAAAAGCCAUCCUUUCUCUAUUGAAUUGUCUUUGCACCUUGGUCAAAAGUAAGUUGACUAUAUUUGUAUGGGUCUAUUGCUGGAUUCCUUGAGAGGAGUAUUUUUAUGUCCAAUAUAUUGUUUCAUGCACUCUCUCUGUCCCUCUCAAAAUAAAGGCAUUCCUGCCAUGCAAACAGCACCCUAUAUAUCAACUAGAGUUAUGACUUGACUAGGCAAAAGAAAAGAAGCUUGGCCAACCAAGAUUAGAGUUAACUUUGCCACAGAUUGCUGUGUGACUUUGGCAUGGGGGGCUUUGUGAUCCUGAAGAAACACAGAAAUGAAGCUCUUCCCGUCACCCCCGAGAGUCGGUGGUAAACACGUCUUCGCUGUGUCUUGUCACAUACAACAGUUACCCAGGGGAUCCUUAUUCCCGGUUACAUUCUUUGGCUCUCCUUCACCAAUAGAAUGAUUCUUUUACAACUUUGGAAUGAAAAGCAUGCAAAAUGGUGUCUUCAUACUGCUUAAAUGCUUUCCACCCA